rnacentral:ncRNA from 1 species
GAAAAGACGGAGAACGAAAAGAGUAGUUAUCCUCAGAGUUCCAUCAGAGAGGAUCUGUCAUCGGCUGAAAGCAGAUCUGGGAGCAGGGAUGAUGAAGUGCAUUCGGGAGUUGACCGGGCGAACGUGAAAGUGAAGAUUUUACAAGUAGCCGGGUACGUGUGGCAGACGUUACAGGCCGUGAGAGAAAAGCAGGAGAGCUGCUUUUAAUUUAGAGUGGAACCGCGGAAACUUCGUCUCUUUU